rnacentral:rRNA from 1 species
UACAGAGGGUGCAAACGUUGUUCGGAAUCACUGGGCGUAAAGCGCAUGUAGGCGGCUUGGCAAGUCGGGUGUGAAAUCCCAGGGCUCAACCCUGGAAGUGCACUCGAAACUGCCUCGCUUGAGUUCUGGAGAGGAAGGUGGAAUGCUUGGUGUAGAGGUGAAAUUCGUAGAUAUCAAGCAGAACACCGGUGGCGAAGGCGGCCUUCUGGACAGAAACUGACGCUGAGAUGCGAAAGCGUGGGGAGCAAACAGG